rnacentral:pre_miRNA from 1 species
AUGCAAAUCACCUGGGACCCUGUUAAAAUGCAGCUUCUGAUUUGGUGGGUCUGAGGAGGACCUGAGAUUCUGCUUUUCUGACAAGCUCCCAGGUGAUGCUGAU